UCCUACGGGAGGCAGCAGUGGGGAAUAUUGCACAAUGGGCGAAAGCCUGAUGCAGCAACGCCGCGUGAGCGAUGAAGGUCUUCGGAUUGUAAAGCUCUGUCCUCUGGGACGAAGAAAGUGACGGUACCAGAGGAGGAAGCCCCGGCUAACUACGUGCCAGCAGCCGCGGUAAUACGUAGGGGGCGAGCGUUAUCCGGAAUUAUUGGGCGUAAAGAGUACGUAGGUGGUUUACUAAGCGCAAGGUGAAAGACCGGGGCUUAACUCCGGUGAGCCUUGUGAACUGGCAGACUUGAGUGCAGGAGGGGAAAGUGGAAUUCCUGGUGUAGCGGUGAAAUGCGCAGAUAUCAGGAGGAACACCGGUGGCGAAGGCGACUUUCUGGACUGUAACUGACACUGAGGUACGAAAGCGUGGGUAGCAAACAGGAUUAGAUACCCUGGUAGUCC
rnacentral:rRNA from 1 species